rnacentral:rRNA from 1 species
CUUGACGACCAUAGAACAUUGGAACCACCUGAUCCCAUCCCGAACUCAGUAGUGAAACGAUGUAUCGCCGAUGGUAGUGUGGGGUUUCCCCAUGUGAGAGACUG